GACGAACGCUGGCGGCGUGCCUAAUACAUGCAAGUAGAACGCUGAAGGAGGAGCUUGCUUCUCUGGAUGAGUUGCGAACGGGUGAGUAACGCGUAGGUAACCUGCCUGGUAGCGGGGGAUAACUAUUGGAAACGAUAGCUAAUACCGCAUAAUAGUAGAUGUCGCAUGACAUUUGCUUAAAAGGUGCAAUUGCAUCACUACCAGAUGGACCUGCGUUGUAUUAGCUAGUUGGUGAGGUAACGGCUCAACAAGGCAACGAUACAUAGCCGACCUGAGAGGGUGAUCGGCCACACUUGGACUGAGACACGGCCCAGACUCCUACGGGAGGCAGCAGUAGGGAAUCUUCGGCAAUGGACGGAAGUCUGACCGAGCAACGCCGCGUGAGUGAAGAAGGUUUUCGGAUCGUAAAGAUCUGUUGUAAGGGAAGAACGAGUGUGAGAGUGGAAAGUUCACACUGUGACGGUAUCUUACCAGAAAGGGACGGCUAACUACGUG
rnacentral:rRNA from 1 species